AGUAAUGUGUCUUCUUGUUUCUCUGUUCUUGUUCUCUGGUACUUUCUAGAGUUCCCUCUUUAGUUUUCAUCAGAAAUACUGUGAUGUAUAUGGUUUUGUUUCUUUGCAUCUCAAUUUCAUUUGAAGUGCUUGGGUCCCUUUGCCAGGAUUGGAAAAUGUCAGUUAUUUGCUGUUUCUUAUUCUUGCCCAUUCUGGUUUCUUUCCCCUUCUUGGAUCACUUAUAUCUGUAAAUAUUUUAGAUCUUAUAUAUAUAGGUUGCCAUGUUAGAUCAUUAUGGUUCUUUGUCGUUUGUCAUUCUGUUUUGAACAGGGAUAUUUUCUUUACUAAUUCUUAAAAAAUAAUAUCACACAAACUGGACAUGGUAGAACAUGCCUUUAAUCAUAGCACUCCAGAGGCAGAGUUAAGAAAAUAUCUGAGUUUAAAGUCACCCUGUUCAGCCGGGGGGUGGUGGUGGUGGCGCAUGCCUUUAAUCCCAGCACUUGGGAGGCAGAAGCAGGUGGAUUUCUGAGUUCGAGGCCACCCUGGUCUACAAAGUGAGUUCCAGGACAGCCAGGGCUACACAGAGAAACCCUGUCUUGAAACAACAACAACAACAACAACAACAACAAAAAACAAAACAAAAUAAAACAAAAAAAAUCCUGAUCUUCAUAAUGAGUUCUAAGCUAGUCAGGGCUUUAUAGUGAAAUUCUGUCUUAAAAAAGAAAAAAAGAAAAAAAAAAAGAGUCUAAUCCAUCAAACCUAUACCUGGACUUUCUUGAUUUAGUUAUUGUACAUGUCAUUUUUAUUUUUGUUUUAAAAUCUGUCUCUGGUAAUUCUCUCAUUUGGGUCUUGAGGGCCUGUCCUGCAUCAUUUUGUUCUUUCCCCUACACACAUAGGUUUUCUCAUUGUAGUCUUGGCUAUCCUGAAACUCACUCUGUAGACCCAGCUGGCUUUGAAAUUAGAGAUCAGCCUGCCUCUGCCUCUGCCCCCCAAGUGCUGAGGUUAAAGAUGUGCACUUCCACAGGCCCAUUGGGGCCUAUUUUAAUGUCAGUUUCCUCCUUGAGUUUUGAUUGUUUCUUAGAGUGUCCAUUUAUUUUUUUUACGUGGUGCAAUAAUUGAAUAGGAAAAGCAUUGCUGAUAGCUUUGAGGCUCUGAGUGAUUAUUAUAGAAUCCAAAAACAUCAGCAUAAUUUUUUAAGUUGUAAUGAAGGGUCAACAGUCACGGUAGAAGGAACUGCUAAAAGAAUCAUGUUAGGUUUUCCAUCUGUUAGAGAAGGAAUUGUGAGAAAUGAGAAGAAAAUGGCUGUCUUUCGGUGGCUGUGGUAGAUGGAGGUGGCUGAGAGGACAGCCCUUCCCAUCACAACAGAAAGGAAGGUGGGUGUGGUGGUGCUCCUCAGUAGUCCUGCACUCAGGAGCAGAGCCAGGAGGCUCUGAAAUUAGAGGUCAGCUUAGGCUCAUAGCAAGUCAGAGAUCAGCCUCGACCACACUAUACAAUGAGAGCGACUGUCUCAAAAACAAAGCAAAAGGAAAAAUGAAAGUGGAAAAAUAACUGGUGUUGUGUGUUUUGAGUUUAGAUUACAACUCAGCCCCUUAAGGUUGAAAAGUGUUUUCAGUUAUUUUUAAGUCAUAUGCAGGUUACCUCUUUUUUUUUUUUUUGGACACAAGGUCUCACUCUGUAGCCUUGGGUGGUCUGGAGCAUCAGACUGGCCUCAAACUCACAGAGAUCUUUUUUGCCUUUACCUUCUAGUUCUGUGAUUAAAGACGUGUAUCACAUGCCUGGCACUAUGUUAACCUUUUUGUUGUUGUUGUUAAAGAUUUAUUUAUUUAUUUAUUUAUUUAUUUAUUUAUUUAAUGUAUAUGAGAACACUGUAGCUGUCUUCAGACAUAUCAGAAAAUAGCAUCGGAUCCCAUUAUAGAUGGUUGUGAGCCACCACAUGGUUGCUGUGAAUUGAACCCAGGAGCUCUAGAAAAGUGGCCAGUGCUCUUAACUGUUGAGCCAUCUCUCCAGCCUCUCACUAUGUUAGCUUUUGAAGGAAGUAAAUAAUGAUGCCCACGGGAGAAUUUCAGUCCAUACCAUAUUUUGCUACUUUUGUUGUUUCUAUUUCUUUUGAAAUUAUUAUUUUUAAACACUUUCCUUUUUUAAAUAUUUAUUAAUUUAUUUUAUGUAUAUGAGUACACUGUAGCUGUCUUCAGACACACCAGAAGAGGGCAUUAGAUCUCAUUACAGAUGGUUGUGAGCCACCAUUUGGUUGCUGGGAUUUGAACUCAGGACCUCUGGAAGAGUAGUCGGUGUUCUUAGCCACUGAGCCAUCUCUCCAGCCCCUUGAAAUUAUUUUAUCAUAAUAAACAGCAUAAUUGGGUGUGGGUAAAGAACAGAAGCCACUAUGCCUUCGCCAUAGGCACCACACAUCUGAGGAGGUUCCUGCCCAGCAGAUAGUAAACCCUCAAGCCUAGUCAUCCUUGUCUCGUUCUCUGCAGAAACUGGGUCCUGCCGAGCCUCUCUCAGGUCUUUCACAAAGAUCUAAUAGAAUAUGUGAAAUAGU
rnacentral:lncRNA from 1 species